rnacentral:rRNA from 1 species
UACAGAGGUCUCAAGCGUUGUUCGGAUUCAUUGGGCGUAAAGGGUGCGUAGGUGGCGGGGGUAAGUCAGGUGUGAAAUCUCGAGGCUCAACCUCGAAACUGCACUUGAUACUGCCUUGCUCGAGUACUGGAGAGGAGAUUGGAAUUUACGGUGUAGCAGUGAAAUGCGUAGAUAUCGUAAGGAAGACCAGUGGCGAAGGCGAAUCUCUGGACAGUUACUGACACUGAGGCACGAAGGCCAGGGGAGCAAACGGG